rnacentral:snRNA from 1 species
UCACACGGAAUCGAGAGCUCCA